AGAUCUGAAGGCUUUUCCAGCACGAGCUGACACUGCAGAGUCUCCAAUCAACUGAUCUUUGAUGGGUUGGUGCCCUGGGUUGGGGUGACAGAUACUCUAAGCCGCAGCAGUGUGGAAAGCUGGCUGCUCGGACAUCCAGCAGUGCUUCUGGCCUGGGGAGCGGUCAGCCAAAGGUUCUGACAGUUUUAAUGGAAAGUCUAUCGUGAAUUUGGAUGCUGAGGGAAGCCUACCAGGCAGAGUACUCAAGAUGCAAGACACUACUACAUUUAGAAGGUAUUUUUGUCCCUUUUCCACCACAUUCCAGAUAUGAAUAGAAGAUCAAGACAUCUGUUGGGCCUUCUUCGGCAACACUUACACCACCAAGAGUUGGCAGAGCAAUCUAUGGAUGCCAAGGCUCCCCUGAACUUGCAGCUCCGGCCUUCUCUGAGUGUGGCCUAUGCAUAGUCACUGCUCUCUCUAGUCCUCCUUCCAAAGGAGGCAUGAGAGAAGGAAUAAGUGCUUCUCUGCUGUGGAUGAAUGAACUUGCUGUGUUCUGCUGAGCCCUCCCUUCCACCAGCAUGGCCUGACCUUGCCUUUCUGACUUAGUGUCCUGGGCUGCAGGUGCUCUAGCACCAGCAGAAGAAUUGGAAUUUGCAAACGGAGAGCAGUUAAGCUUUUCCCCUGCCAGUUCCCUUUCAUGUGUGCCAAACCAGCACACAGCAGUGUUUUUCUUGAGCCUGGCAGCCACUUUCAUCCAAGUGAUAUCGCUGAGAACGCGGCUGCUUAUUCCCUCAACUGAAAGCCCCAAAAGCCAUGGCCUGGAGGCCUCUUGGCCUGCAACUUGAGAGGGUUUGCUUCUGGGAGCAUGAAUAAUUAAAAAGGUUCACAAAUUUCUUUCUGUCUGGAAGCUGUUCAUAAAUCUGGGCUUGUCCAGGGACUGUGAAAACCUGAUCCUGGUUCUCAUGAAAGCAGAAGACCUUUUUGUAUCUUUUCGGCAUGGACUGAUGAAUGUCUGAGAUCUCCAAAGCUUCAGUGUUUCUUUGUGCUGUGCCGUUACAGAGUUGUUAGAUUCAUUCUGUGCUGAAGUACGUAAGUGCUCACAUGCACUCUCGCCUAUGUUGUUAUCCUUCUUUUCUUUAAUAUUUUACAUUUCCAAACAUUUUUCUUGCUAUGACUUAUAUUAACCAGAAAACCUUCAUUUUGUAGGGCCUUAUUUCUCUGACACUUGCAUGGUAUGAUUCUUAGGCACACCAAGAAUGAUUAUAAAUAAUGUCAAAUUUUGUCUAGGUAUAAAAUUUUCCUGUGCACUUAACC
ensembl:lncRNA